UACGGAGGGUGCAAGCGUUAUCCGGAUUCACUGGGUUUAAAGGGUGCGUAGGCGGGUAAGUAAGUCCGUGGUGAAAUCUCUGAGCUUAACUCAGAAACUGCCGUGGAUACUAUUUGCCUUGAAUAUUGUGGAGGUGAGCGGAAUAUGUCAUGUAGCGGUGAAAUGCUUAGAUAUGACAUAGAACACCAAUUGCGAAGGCAGCUCACUACACAAUCAUUGACGCUGAGGCACGAAGCGUGGGGAUCAAACAGG
rnacentral:rRNA from 1 species